AAUAGAGGAAGCAUGUUCAUUAUGGACUUCAGACUUCAGUCAGCAGAUGUUAUUGUAGUUAGAUCAUACAGAACACCAUGAGGUAAGACUGUUACUCAGAUGUUAUUGUAGUUAGAUCAUACAGAACACCAUGAGGUAAGGUUAUUGUAGUUAGAUCAUACAGAAUACCAUGAGGUAAGGUUAUUGUAGUUAGAUCAUACAGAAC